UGUGCUGUGUUUUUUUUUAGACCAAAUUGCUCCGUUCAUAUGGUCCUAUAAAUGCACGCAUAUACGUUACACAAAUCCAAAUCCAUAUCCACACAUCGCGGUGCAAAACCAAAACCCACUGCAGAGAAGAAGCAUCGAUCAAUUCAAGUUACCAAGCAACUUGGAUCUUCUCGAUUGUUUCCUUGCGAAGAUGAGUUCCUCUUAGACCCCCAAGACGGAGUGGCCCGAGCUAGUUUGCCGGACGAUCAAGGAGGCCAAGGAGAAGAUCAAAGCAGACCGUCCAGAUCUCAAGAUUGAGGUGGUUCCGGUAGGCACCAUCGUCACUCAAGAGUUCGACGAGAAUCGCGUUCGCAUCUGGGUCGACACAGUGGCAAAGACCCCCACAAUCGGUUAAGCUGAAACCCCGAUAUAGGCAUACAUCUAGCAAGUGUACGUCCAUGCAAGUAUUUCUGGAUAUGGUCCAGUAUGAUAAAUAAAUAAAUAAAUAAAUAAAUAAAUAAAUAAAGCUGUGUAUGAGCGUGUGUGUGCUCAUGCAUGUGUGUGUUCACGGUUAGCUUUUUUUUUUUUAAAUUCUUGCAUCAAUAAAAAGUACUACGGAGUACGUAUGUACUCUUUGAACAAUGCGUUAUACGACAAAUGAGAUGUGUGUCCUCAAUCGUUUUAUCUGAAAAGAUAUCAGCAUAAGUACAAAAUUGCUGCUGUUUACAA